rnacentral:piRNA from 1 species
AGAGGUUAACCUAAGGGAGUCGG